CGGGGCGUGGCCUAGUCCGGUUACGGCGCCUGUUUUGGGAACAGGAGAUCGCAGGUUCGAAUCCUGCCGCCCCGACGA
rnacentral:tRNA from 2 species